GGUUCGAGGUUUCUGUUUCUCUCGUUUUUGAGGAUUCCAGCUUCAUCUGUAGUCCGUUUCUCAGUUCCAACUUUGUAUUGGUUUUUGUUCCAAACUGAAAAAAAAAAAAAACUAAACUAAAGUGCAUUUUAACUUUUUAUAUGAUAUUAUGAUUUUUGUUGGCCAAUCAAUUAACGACAUGUGGACAAGUCAUGGAUUACAACUAUUUUGUGUCAAAAGAAAGGAAAAACAAGGCUAAACAACGACCUGGCCU